AGCGAACGCUGGCGGCAGGCUUAACACAUGCAAGUCGAACGCCCCGCAAGGGGAGUGGCAGACGGGUGAGUAACACGUGGGAACGUACCCUUUGGUUCGGAAUAACUUGGGGAAACUCAAGCUAAUACCGGAUAAGCCCUUAUGGGGAAAGGUUUACUGCCGAAGGAUCGGCCCGCGUCUGAUUAGCUAGUUGGUGAGGUAAUGGCUCACCAAGGCGACGAUCAGUAGCUGGUCUGAGAGGAUGAUCAGCCACACUGGGACUGAGACACGGCCCAGACUCCUACGGGAGGCAGCAGUGGGGAAUAUUGGACAAUGGGGGCAACCCUGAUCCAGCCAUGCCGCGUGAGUGAUGAAGGCCUUAGGGUUGUAAAGCUCUUUUACCCGGGACGAUAAUGACUGUACCGGGAGAAUAAGCCCCGGCUAACUUCGUGCCAGCCGCCGCAGUAA
rnacentral:rRNA from 1 species